rnacentral:lncRNA from 1 species
GGGUAUCCUGUUCCUGGAAAUAAUAAGUCAAGAAGAAAAACAAGUCAGCCGAUGGUGAUAGCAAAUCGGCUAAGUAAGGGUGAAAAGUCUCUUACCUCCUUGAAUCGGAUUUCCUCAAGCUGCGUUUGGGGAGCCGUUAUCCUCGAUUCAGGGGCUGGUGCCAUUGGUUCAUCAGAAGAAGAAGACUCUACGAUGAUUGGUGCUGUGCUCGGGCCAGCUUCCCGGGAGAUGACCGUUGGUU